rnacentral:rRNA from 1 species
AUUGAACGCUGGCGGCAUGCCUAACACAUGCAAGUCGAACGAAGCCUUCGGGCUUAGUGGCGCACGGGUGCGUAACGCGUGGGAAUCUGCCCCUUGCUUCGGAAUAACAGUUAGAAAUGACUGCUAAUACCGGAUGAAGUCUUCGGACCAAAGAUUUAUCGGCAAGGGAUGAGCCCGCGUAGGAUUAGGUAGUUGGUGGGGUAAAGGCCUACCAAGCCGACGAUCCUUAGCUGGUCUGAGAGGAUGAUCAGCCACACUGGGACUGAGACACGGCCCAGACUCCUACGGGAGGCAGCAGUGGGGAAUAUUGGACAAUGGACGCAAGUCUGAUCCAGCAAUGCCGCGUGAGUGAUGAAGGCCUUAGGGUUGUAAAGCUCUUUUACCAGGGAUGAUAAUGACAGUACCUGGAGAAUAAGCUCCGGCUAACUCCGUG